GCUGUUCUCUUUCCCUUAAGGCCAGGUUCCUUUCCCAGUCGGGGAACCACACCAGCCGUCUGUUGGUUGUCAUACUGUGGUGGCUGGAUGUUGCUGUGACGCUGAAAGCUAUG